UACAGAGGGUGCGAGCGUUAAUCGGAAUUACUGGGCGUAAAGGGCGCGUAGGCGGUUAUAUAAGUUAGAUGUGAAAUCCCCGGGCUUAACCUGGGAAUGGCAUUUAAUACUGUAUGACUAGAGUAGAGUAGAGGGAAGUGGAAUUUCCGGUGUAGCGGUGAAAUGCGUAGAUAUCGGAAAGAACACCAGUGGCGAAGGCGGUCUCUUGGAGCACUCUUGACGCUGAGGCGCGAAAGCUGGGGGAGCGAACGGG
rnacentral:rRNA from 1 species